UGUGUCACCCAGCGGCCAGGAUACAUAGGAAAUUCUAACUACUGGCUGAGAUCUGCCCCCCCUUCCUGGAAUAACGUAUUAGAUCGGUUGAUCCAAUGACUGCUCUAUGCUCAAUCCCACGAUAGAUGUUUCAUUCCAUGAAUUAAAAGCGAAUCAUAAAAACAGCCUUCAUUGUAAGUAACGCACACCAGAGUGCUCUUAGGUUAGAAUUUCUUCGGUUCCUAUUCACCUCUCUUCAUGUUGUUGUGAUCUUUUCUCUUUAACAUCUUGAUUCCGUAACGUAUCAUAAACCCUAGACUCAAUUUUUUGUUCGUAGGAUUUCCCAAUCAAGGUUAAUUAUCUCGGUAUUAAUUUGGCCUGCAUCUCAAAAUAAAAUAAAAAAAUCGCUCAUCCUUGCAUUAAUUGGAUCAGGUCUAUAAAAUGGCUAAUCUGAAUCGCAAUGAACAUCAAUUCCAGUCGAAAGUUUUACGUCUAAACAACAGACUAAAUGGCAUAUCAAAUCAAUAUCACAGCACAGCAGGUACCAUCUUCAGCUACCCAGGACAAGUUGAAGAGUUUACGAUCCCUUGACGAAGGAAAAUCAAGUGGCGUUACUGUUCGUGUUACCAACAAAUGGGAAGAAUUGGAUUUUAUGUCCGCCAAUGACGUUACCAGCGUCGAUAUGGUUAUUGUCGAUGAGAAGGUAUUGAACACCCCCUGUUUCCGUAAAUUUGCAAGACAUGUUCUUCAAUGAGUGUCUUUCGAAGUCACUUAGCUCAAAGAAUACCGCAAUUCUUUGUUGCUUUUCUUUUUUUGAACAAUUUGUAGGUAAAAGUAAAUAUGUCUUCUUGAGUGUCUGAUCAUGUUCUUACCUGUAAUUUGUGGUUUGCUGCUUUCUUAUUAUGUCAGUUGGUCCACUUCAAUCAAUCAAGUGCUUAUGGUAAUUGAUAUUCGGUAAAA